AUUAUGAACUUGAAUGGACUAUAUACUAAAAGUUCUAGUUACUUCAAUUUAAAACACCAUAAACAGUAUCAAAUGGUGGUCCGCUCGGUAGUUUUAUCCGUCCUAACCGCUUCUCUGCCCUGGCCUCUGGGUGCUAACCGGAGAUCCCGAUUCCCUGCGUUGUGUUGCUUAAUCUUUAGGGUUGAGGUGCUGUAAUGGUGGUCGACUCUUUCGUUGUUCCUGAACUCCCAAGGGCGCAGGUAGGGGGCCUAACUCCCCAAAAUUGAAAAUUUCUGGUUGACCCUCUAAAUUUUAUAAAUCUAUUUAUUAAUAAAAUUAUAGUUAGACUUCAAAAUAAUAAAAUUUUGAUGAUAUAGUGGCGAGAUUGUAUUCUAACUCCUAUAAAAAAAUAUAUAACAUAAUCCCAAUCUCCCCAAAGAAACUUUGCUGUUGCCAAACUCCAACCAAUAUUUCCGGCAAGAUGGGGUCCGGUUGGAAAAAUAAGCUUCGUGGCCUAUGGACUGCGCUGUGCUUUCGCGUCGCGAUUAGGCUACGGAACUCGAGUCCCAUGAGGCUCGUUUGAUCUAUUGGUUCAAGUCAAGAGUAUUAUCCACUACCGAAGGCAAGGUUUGCUUAAAGACUCGCUAUAUCAAUGUCCAUUACCUUGAGAGUUGAGUAACGCAUCUUACUAUUGGGCGACGUUUGUGCCGAGAUCUCUUUUUGCCUCCAUUAGGCAAGGAGGCUUAAUUCAAGCAAUGACGACCUGUCUCUGACAUAAAUUGUAGGGUUUACUCAUCUUCUAGGGUGUUGUCUUUUACGAGACUUGGGUUUUCGAGUGCUUCCUUCGUUUCGUUUAUUUGGGUUGGAGGCUUCGUUGUCCUUUGUUUGCAUAGGACAUUGUUCCCAUUUGUUGCAUUCCCAUGAAAUGAAAUUUGAACUUUGACCAAAAAUAAAACACAAAUCAAAAUAUCAAUAUAUUGCCCAUCAUCCAGCCGGAGGGUUUACUGGGCUUGAAGAGUUGGGCAUGUUCAGUGACUUGGCUUCAAGUCAAGUCAUUCAAAAUGCUAAGGUAAAGACAAUAAUUAAUAGUUUUAAGAAGAGAGAAUGUUUAACUUUUGUCCUCCAUGAUUCUGCGUCAAAACCGAUUUCGUCUAGAGAAGACCCCAGGUAAUGUUUGUAUCCAUGAAUCAAAUAGGUGUUGUUCUGUUGUUAACCAGUUGCACCAUGUGCUCGAUAAAAUGUUGGAAUGACAAAAAGAAAACCAGCAGGGCAAUGACAUAGUGACGGGGAAAUUAGAGCAAGAUAGCCGAACCAAUAAAUAUGUAAAUUGAAUACCGAUACAAGUGGUGGCAUUAAUAUCAAAGACCUCAGGUCCCACCAUUGCUAGAUUUCUACUUUUCUUCAUGUUCUGUGUCUGCCCAACCCAACCUAGCAUGCAAUGUUAAGCAUGAAAUUCGUACCAAAGUUCUAAUGUCUCUCAAGUCAACAUUUUUC
rnacentral:lncRNA from 1 species